rnacentral:rRNA from 1 species
CCUACGGGGUGCUGCAGUUUCGAAUCAUUCACAAUGGGCGAAAGCCUGAUGGUGCGACGCCGCGUGAGGGAUGAAGGCCUUCGGGUUGUAAACCUCUGUCACUGGGGAAGAAACGCUUCAAGUUAAUAGCUUGAAGCCUGACUUAACCCAGAGAGGAAGCAGUGGCUAACUCUGUUCCAGCAGCCGCGGUAAUACAGAGACUGCAAGCGUUAUUCGGUUUGCCGGGGCGUAUAGGGUUCACAGGCGAACGCCCCGGGCUUAACCUCGGAAUUGCGCCUAAAACUACACGGCUAGAGCAUUGGAGAGGGUAGCGGAAUUCACGGUGUAGCAGUGAAAUGCGUAGAUAUCGUGAGGAACACCAGAGGCGAAGGCGGCUACCUGGACAAUUGCUGACGCUCAGGCACGAAAGCGUGGGGAGCAAAAGGGAUUAGAUACCCCAGUAGUC